rnacentral:rRNA from 1 species
GACCUGGCUCAGGAUGAACGCUAGCUACAGGCUUAACACAUGCAAGUCGAGGGGCAGCAUUUUAGUUUGCUUGCAAACUGAAGAUGGCGACCGGCGCACGGGUGAGUAACACGUAUCCAACCUGCCGAUAACUCCGGAAUAGCCUUUCGAAAGAAAGAUUAAUACCGGAUAGCAUACGAAUAUCGCAUGAUAUUUUUAUUAAAGAAUUUCGGUUAUCGAUGGGGAUGCGUUCCAUUAGUUUGUUGG